rnacentral:piRNA from 1 species
ACAUAUGGGAUAAUGGUUUGGGG